AAAUGAUGAUGGUUGGACCGAGUCAAAAACUGAUCAUGGUUGGACCAUUUUUUAAAAAUACCAAUUUAGCCAACACUUUCUCACCAACUUGAUCUAAAUGUCAUUAGUAUCGAAGUAGUAUGCCUUCUUCCUUGAAUUCACAUUGAUUUUGAUCGAAAUAUCUUCAAAUUCAUAAAAUAACUGAGCUUUUCGGGAAGACUUGCAAUUAGCACAUUUGGGUACCGAAAUUAAGCGAUUUACAGCUUCUACAAUAAAGACAUUCCGUGGAAAAUCCUAGAAACUUUUUGGGUUAUACUGGUGCGAAAAUUUGUAAACUUCAUUUCGGUACUUUGGAAGUUUAUCAUAUUCUUCAAAAAAUGCAAUUAAUUAGCGAAAUAAUGUCAACUGAAUCUGAUCAUGGUUGGUCCUACGUAUGAUUUUAGUUGGACCUAACCGUUACCAUGUGGGUUGCUAGGUUCAGUUGAACUUGUUUACAGUUUUCUUUGCGGGCGCUGACAGUAGGUACCGAACCGUCGCGAUGAAGUCUUUCGAACCUAACUACUUCAACCGCACAGAAAAACACUGAAUCAACAGGAGUAUGGCGCGCAACAUAAUGCUACUACGGACUUGAUACACUCUUGAAUGUUACCGAAGCUCGUGCGUUUGAGUGGUUCUACAUAUUCGGUGCUCAACCCCGAAGGACAGACGUUUGCCGCUGGCUGAAUAUUGCUGAUAAGCCGACAUCUUCAAAAACGCAGCCUGAUAUUGUAAAUUGGCCGCUGUGUGUUUCAUAAGCUGGCUUAUACGCCAACUUAUGGACCAGCCUCAUCACUCUGCCCUCUGGCAGCGAUCAUUUUCCGAUGGGUCCCUGGAUUACAAUUUUACCGCAGGCGAGCUGACUGAAAUUACUUGACAUUGUGCUACAUACAUUCAAUUGCUUGCCGAAAUAAAUUCAUAUGUAUUACUUA